rnacentral:misc_RNA from 1 species
UCCAAAGUCAUGCCAUAUAACCUGCAGAAUUCCUGUUUAAAUUGGCCCACCAGGUAGUCCAACUAUUUUGAUUCAAAUAAAACCUGGAAAGCAAAAAAUAUGACAUUAACUCUCCCAAAAUGAUACUGAGUCUACUGAUGAAGCUGUCUAAGAGGAAAAGCAUAAUAGUUAACUGUUUGGGACAAGCAAAAGAGUCCAUAAGAACGUAAGUUUCCUUUACAAAAUGCUAUAACAGAUUCUCUCAUUAGGAAGAAAACUGUGCAAACCCCUAAGCUGGGUGCAAAACAAGAAUUAACGAUGUAAAAUUUCCUUUAGUAUAUCCAAACAUUUCAAACCAAUAAGCACUAUUCCACUAGUACCAAAAACGAAUAUGUACUACACUUGCAAGCAACAGUGGGCAGAUUGAACUAGAAUUAUAAUUAACAAAAUCAAUUGAACAGAAUCUUUUGUUUCCUUAAGGACAAAAUCUGGAUUCACUUCUAUGCAGUAAUUAAAAGUUAGUAGGAAAGCAAAAACUCAUAUUCUAGGUUUCAGUGAAGAAAACUUAAGAACCAAAAUGAGGAAGAACUUUACUCCUGCAAAAACUAAAAUAAAGCUUAGGAAAAAAAAUCUAACGUUGAAAAGCCAGCUAUUAUUGAAGUCACAACUCUCAAGGCAAAAUGCAUUCAUAGCCAAGCAAAGGAAGUUAAAGAAUGCCAGAAGGAGGAGAGAAAUCGAACUGAAACUAACAAAGGGAAAGAAGUAGCAGCAGAUAUAGUAAGUUCAGAUUCUCUAUGUUCUUGUUAUGCGGACGCCUCAAUUUCCUAAGCUGAUACUGGUGCAGGAGCUAUUUGGGUUGUUUCGGGUAUUUUUGGUGUUUGACUUGGUUAUUAGGGUUAGAGUUUAUUUUAUGGUACCUAUAUAAUUAUUCUUGUAGCACUUUAGUCAUUAGGAUGUUACUGGAAGACUAAAAUUGAAAUCCAAAUUUAGAGCAUUGUUCCUUUCUCUGGGUUUAGGUUUUUUCUUUUUGUGGUUCUACAUCAGAUACACUUUAAAUGCUGUUGACUGUAUAGCUGCAUUAGAGUACACAAGGCAACCAGGAAUUCAUCUGACUACAAUUUAAUCCACCCUCCCUUAAGGCAGGGAAUUGGAAAGGACAGACCUCCUUUGGACAAGAACUAAAAAGACAUGAAAAUAAACAAUCAAAACCAUCUUAAGAGCUAAAAGCUGGUUUCUUAAA